rnacentral:lncRNA from 1 species
UAACAUCAGCGUCGACAACAACGCCCAAAAGACCAGCUUUGAUGGCAGCGCAAAGGCAAAUAGCAGCGUCAAGGUCAAGAAUAGGAGCAAGAAGGGAGCAGUAAUUGGUUCCGAGUUUCAGCUUGGUGUAAUCAAUGGAGCAAGUAUUAGCUGCGCUCACCAUGCUAAAGAAAACGAGGUUCAAGCAGAGAAGGAAGGCAGUGAUUGCUUGAGCUUUGGAUGCCAUUUCUCUUUGAUGUGGUUUUAUCUAUAUGCUAAAUUAAAAGCUUUGUUCUAUGUCUCUAAGAGCUAGUUGCUGAUGCGAAUUAUGAAGUAGUUUAUGGGGUAUUUAUAGAAGGGAGAAAGCAGAAAGCCCCGCACUGAUUCCUUGUGGUUGAGCUUGAAAGAACCCCAACGUAAGCCGCAUGCAUUUCACCUCCGCCGUAGCCUGCCAUUCCGCCGUUGAAGAUGGCUCUUUUUUAAUUAAAUAUGAUAUCUUUAACUAAUGUGAGCUAAGCACAAGUGGCAGCGUUGUAUACAAUUCUAGAAUGUACGGCUUCGGGCUCCUAGCUAAUAUAAAAUUGCUUGCCAUUCUGAAACUAAUAUUGAUCUUUAUGCUACUAUUUAAUAGAUUCAAUUGAUAGCCACGAUUUUUGCUGUAAGAAAUUGGCUUGACAUUCGACGAAUUGUAGAAAUGUACGGGCUUAAUCCUCUUUAUCUACUAUCAUAUUUGUUUCUUCAAUGAAGCCGCCGUUCAAGAAGUCAAAAUAUAACAACCGGUAGAUUAGGAAAUUCUUCUUUACUAUAAUUUUAUGUUUGGCUGAAUUUUAUUAAAAAAAUAUAUUUUAUUUGAAAAAUACAUGAGAGAAAAAUAGUAAAAUAAUAAAAUAAUAAAAUUGAAAGAAAUAUUUUGAUAUUAUAGAAUAUAUUGAAAACUAACAUGGAAUUCAAUUAAAAAUUCUAUUUAGAAAAAUUCUUGCCUAGACUUGGUGUAUAGCCUUACCUAUACAACAAACUGAUAGAUGAUUGACACAUAUUUAUUAGUUUUAAAUGAAUAAAUAUAUGUCAUUCAUUUAAUACCAAAGUGUAAAAUACUUAUAAUAAGUGUCACUCUUCUAUUAGUUGUGGUGUAUAUAUCAAGUCUAUGUAAGAAUUACUAUUCUAUCUAUUUGUUAGAAUUUGGUUUAGCUAUAAUAAAUUUUACAAAAAUUUUAAUAUAUAAAAAAAAAUUAACUUUUAUUUCAUUCAAAGCACAUAAUCUUUAGAUUUGCAAAUAAAUUCUAUAAAUUUAUAAACUUUAGCCAAUCACAAUUGAAAGAUAAUUGAUAAUAUUUGUUAAUAUUAUAAAAUUUAAUAUAUAUCAUUUAUCUAAUGCCAAAAUAUAAAAUACUUAUAUAGAUAUUAUCUAUCUAUUCAUAUUACAGAUAAGAAUUAGCCAAUAAAUUAUAUUAUCAUAAAUAUAUAAGAGUUGGUAUUACCUCUUCCAACAUAUUCUUACUUUUUUUCCUUUAAAUUUUUUAAGUAAAUGAUUUUUAAGAUCCAAUUAGAAAAUAGAAUAAACCAUGCUUUAUUCAAAAGUAAGUUGUAAAAAGUAAAAGCGAUAAUUGUAAAAUAUCCUCCUAUGGUUUAUUCUAUUAGUAGUUGUCUCUUUCUUUUUGUCAAAUAUGCAUUUUUGUCCUCCAUUUUCUUUCCCGCUCAUUAUCAUUGUCUUUCUGUCAGUAUUCUGUUAAUUUAUUAAAAAAAUGCUGAUAUUACUGUUAAAUUUCAUCUGUAAAACCAAAAGUUAAGACUAAGUUUCUUUAUAAACUAAAUUUUCAGAGACUAAAUUAAUGUAUAUAGUUCAAGUUAAUUUACCUUGUCAGAGACUAAGUUCUUUUUUGCUGUGGGCUUGAUGUUUAUGCAUGAUAGACACACGAAAUUCUAUGUGAUUUGUGCGAGUUUGAAUAGGUGAAGGGUAGUAGUGGAAAGAUAUGCAGAUAAAUCGACAAUAGAUCAAGAACUGGAGAUGGUGGAGAAGAAAUAGGCUGAUCUUGCACAUGGCAAUCAAGCCGAAUUAUAAAGGUGCCCCUCUUUGAUAUUGUACAUGGCAAUCAAGUUAGCUUAUUGUAUAGACAUCGUCGGAGUUCUAUCCAUUACAUGCCAACUAAACGGUUUCUCAUCUCAUUUGAUAAAUUAUGCAAUGAUAAAGAUAACAGUUAAAAAGAAAAACUGAAAGCAACUGUAAAUAACAGAACAUAUAGUAAAAUGUAUUUCUCCUGCUUAAUUAUUCAGCGGAACAUAAUGACAUAGAAGAAGGCAAGAAGCUAACUAGCCUUCAGUCCAUGAAAAUAAGCUACACAGACAGAUUAUUGAUAUUUCGUACGUAUAUGUAUACUGGAAUAUAUAUAUAUCCCAAUAAACACACAGAUAUAAACAGGAGAAGUAUUAUAAUAUUGAUGGAUUCAUGAUUUAUUUGCAGACGAAUCCAGAUGGGCGAGUCUUUCCACAUCCAGUGAGCAAAACGCCCAACGUUGCAUCAGCGUCGACAACAACGCCCAAGAGACCAGCUUUGAUGGCAGCGCAAAGGCAAAUGGCAGCAUCAAGGUCAAGAAGAGGAGCAAGAAGGGAGCAGUAAUUGGUUCCGAGUUUCAGCUUGGUGUAAUCAAUGGAGCAAGUGGUAGUUGCACUGACCAUGCUAAAGAAAACGAGGUUCAAGCAGAGGAGGAAGGCAGAGAUUGCUUGAGCUUGGAUG